CCUACGGGAGUCAGCAGUGGGGAAUAUUGGACAAUGGGGGGAACCCUGAUCCAGCGACGCCGCGGGAGUGAAGAAGUAUUUCGGUAUGUAAAGCUCUAUCAGCAGGGAAGAAAGAAAUGACGGUACCUGACUAAGAAGCCCCGGCUAACUACGUGCCAGCAGCCGCGGGAAUACGUAGGGGGCAAGCGUUAUCCGGAUUUACUGGGUGUAAAGGGAGCGUAGACGGCGAUGCAAGUCUGAAGUGAAAGGCGGGGGACCAACCCCCGGACUGCUUUGGAAACUGGAUGGCUGGAGUGCAGGAGAGGUAAGUGGAAUUCCUAGUGUAGCGGUGAAAUGCGUAGAUAUUAGGAGGACCACCAGUGGCGAAGGCGGCUUACUGGACUGUAACUGACGUUGAGGCUCGAAAGCGUGGGGAGCAAACAGGAUUAGAUACCCUUGUAGUC
rnacentral:rRNA from 1 species